rnacentral:sRNA from 1 species
UUUUGGAACUAAUCAAAUUAACACGACAAGUUAAAAUAAGGUUUAUCCGUAAUCAACUUGAAAAAGUAAGAGCGUCAUCGCUCUUUUUUU